CCUACGGGAGGCAGCAGUGGGGAAUUUUCCGCAAUGGGCGAAAGCCUGACGGAGCAAUACCGCGUGAGGGAGGAAGGCUCUUGGGUUGUAAACCUCUUUUCUCAGGGAAGAUAAUGACGGUACCUGAGGAAUAAGCAUCGGCUAACUCCGUGCCAGCAGCCGCGGUAAUACGGAGGAUGCAAGCGUUAUCCGGAAUGAUUGGGCGUAAAGCGUCCGCAGGUGGUUUUGAAAGUCUGCUGUUAAAGCGUGCGGCUUAACCGCAUAAGGGCAGUGGAAACUAUGAGACUAGAGUGCGUUAGGGGCAGAGGGAAUUCCCAGUGUAGCGGUGAAAUGUGUAGAGAUUGGGAAGAACACCGGUGGCGAAGGCGCUCUGCUAUACCGUAACUGACACUGAGGGACGAAAGCUAGGGGAGCGAAUGGGAUUAGAUACCCCAGUAGUCCUAGCCGUAAACGAUGGAUACUAGGCGUUGUCUGUAUCGACCCGGACAGUGCCGUAGCUAACGCGUUAAGUAUCCCGCCUGGGGAGUACGCNGCACUGUGAACUACAAUAGAUAGACGGCGNGAGACGUGCCGACGGACGACGACGAGGGAGUAGG
rnacentral:rRNA from 1 species